GGACGAACGCUGGCGGCGUGCUUAACACAUGCAAGUCGAGCGGAAAGGCCCUGCUUUUGUGGGGUGCUCGAGUGGCGAACGGGUGAGUAACACGUGAGUAACCUGCCCUUGACUUUGGGAUAACUUCAGGAAACUGGGGCUAAUACCGGAUAGGAGCUCCUGCUGCAUGGUGGGGGUUGGAAAGUUUCGGCGGUUGGGGAUGGACUCGCGGCUUAUCAGCUUGUUGGUGGGGUAGUGGCUUACCAAGGCUUUGACGGGUAGCCGGCCUGAGAGGGUGACCGGCCACAUUGGGACUGAGAUACGGCCCAGACUCCUACGGGAGGCAGCAGUGGGGAAUAUUGCACAAUGGGCGGAAGCCUGAUGCAGCAACGCCGCGUGCGGGAUGACGGCCUUCGGGUUGUAAACCGCUUUCGCCUGUGACGAAGCGUGAGUGGCGGUAAUGGGUAAAGAAGCACCGGCUAACUACGUG
rnacentral:rRNA from 1 species